rnacentral:rRNA from 1 species
GAGUGAACGCUGGCGGUAGGCCUAACCCAUGCAAGUCGAACGGCAGCCCAGUAAGAGCUUGCUCUUACGGGUGGCGAGUGGCGGACGGGUGAGGAAUACAUCGGAAUCUACUUUUUCGUGGGGGAUAACGUAGGGAAACUUACGCUAAUACCGCAUACGACCUACGGGUGAAAGCAGGGGAUCUUCGGACCUUGCGCGAUUGAAUGAGCCGAUGUCGGAUUAGCUAGUCGGCGGGGUAAAGGCCCACCAAGGCGACGAUCCGUAGCUGGUCUGGGAGGAUGAUCAGCCACACUGGAACUGAGACACGGUCCAGACUCCUACGGGAGGCAGCAGUGGGGAAUAUUGGACAAUGGGCGCAAGCCUGAUCCAGCCAUACCGCGUGGGUGAAGAAGGCCUUCGGGUUGUAAAGCCCUUUUGUUGGGAAAGAAAAGCAGCAGGUUAAUACCCCGCUGUUCUGACGGUACCCAAAGAAUAAGCACCGGCUAACUUCGUG